UUAUUCUUCGGGAGUAUUCGGGAGCGUAUUUCAAGCAAUACUGUAUCACUUUCUUGAUAAUCCUAUUCCGUUGUGACAUAACUAAUCUAAAAGUGAUUAAUCUAUUCGUCCAGCACAGUAUUAUUCCAAGAAUAAUAUUUUCGGAAUGUCUCUGCAGUUCGCGACCAUUCGCGACCGCCAUUGUGCUCAAGUCGUCAGAACCAAGGCCUUCUGUCAGAGAACCGAGCAAGCGUCCCAGUCCUCGAAGGUGUGGACUGACUUGGGAAUGAUCAUGGGGCUCGAGGAGGACGUGAAGGAGCAUGUCCUGCAGAAAAUCAGACAUACCGCGAAGAAGUAUGCCCAGACGAUGAUAAACGUGGAGCCGGCCGACAAAGACGACGACGAGCUGCUAGCUCUUCUUGCCUAUAUGGUUGUGGAACAACCAUUGGCACCUUGGCGGAUCCGAGAAACGGGGUUCGUCAGGCAGGUGAGGAACUAUCGGUGGACGGUGUGGUGGUCUGCCAACUGCCGGCCACCAGGUUGGAGACCGUGGCCCUAAUGACGGCCGCCCACGCUG